rnacentral:rRNA from 1 species
AAUAACCCGGAGAUGAUAUCUGAGACACGAUAUCAGGCCCUACGGGGCGCAGCAGGCGCGAAAACUUCGCAAUGUGCGAAAGCACGACGAGGGAAUCCCAAGUGCUGGCUCGUUAGAGUCAGCUGUUUUUAUGUCUAAAAAGCAUAAAGAGUAAGGGCUGGGUAAGACGGGUGCCAGCCGCCGCGGUAAUACCUGCAGCUCAAGUGGUGGCCGCUAUUAUUGGGCCUAAAACGUCCGUAGCCGGUUUAUUAAAUGCCUAGGUAAAUUGUGUGGCUUAACCAUACGAAUUCUGGGUAGACUGGUAAACUUGAAACCGGGAGAAGCUAGAGGUACUUCUGGGGUAGAGGUGAAAUUCUGUAAUCCUAGGGGGACCACCAGUGGCGAAGGCGUCUAGCUAGAACGGGUUUGACGGUGAGGGACGAAGCCCUGGGGCGCAAACGGGAUUAGAUACCCCGGUAGUCCAGGGUGUAAACGCUGCUUGCUUGAUGUUGGUUGGGCUCCGAGCCCAAUCAGUGUCGGAGAGAAGUUGUUAAGCAAGCUGCCUGGG